UAACCAAAGUGCUGUUAACA
rnacentral:siRNA from 1 species